UACGUAGGGUGCGAGCGUUGCCCGGAUUUAUUGGGCGUAAAGGGCGCGUAGGCGGCCACGCACGUCCGUUGUGAAAUCGCCCGGCUCAACUGGGCGGGGUCAGCGGAUACGGUGUGGCUCGAGCAAGCUAGGGGGGCAAUGGAAUUCCCGGUGUAGUGGUGGAAUGCGUAGAUAUCGGGGAGGAACACCAGUGGCGAAGGCGGCGAUCUGGGAAGAUACUGACG
rnacentral:rRNA from 1 species